CCUACGGGUGGCAGCAGUGAGGAAUAUUGGUCAAUGGGCGUAAGCCUGAACCAGCCAAGUCGCGUGAGGGAUGAAGGUUCUAUGGAUCGUAAACCUCUUUUAUAAGGGAAUAAAGUGCGGGUCGUGUCCCGUUUUGUAUGUACUUUAUGAAUAAGGACAGGCUAACUCCGAGCUAGCAGACGCGGUAAUACGGAGGAUCCGAGCGUUAUCCGGAUUUAAUGGGUUUAAAGGGUGUGCAGGCGGAAGAUCAAGUCAGCGGUAAGAUUGAGAGGCUCAACCUCUUCGAGCCUGUGAAACUGUGUUUCUUGAGUGAGCGAGAAGUAUGCGGAAUUCGUGGUGUAGCGGUGAAAUGCAUAGAUAUCACGCAGAACUCCGAUUGCGAAGGCAGCAUACCGGCGCUCAACUGACGCUCAUGCACGAAAGUGUGGGGAUCGAACAGGAUUAGAUACCCUUGUAGUC
rnacentral:rRNA from 1 species